ACCAGACUCCUACGGGAGGCAGCAGUGGGGAAUAUUGGGCAAUGGGCGCAAGCCUGACCCAGCAACGCCGCGUGAAGGAAGAAGGCUUUCGGGUUGUAAACUUCUUUUGACAGGGAAGAGCAGAAGACGGUACCUGUCGAAUAAGCCACGGCUAACUACGUGCCAGCAGCCGCGGUAAUACGUAGGUGGCAAGCGUUGUCCGGAUUUACUGGGUGUAAAGGGAGCGCAGGCGGCACGGCAAGCCUGAUGUGAAAGCCCGGGGCCCAACCCCGGGACUGCUCUUGGAACUGCGUGGCUGGAGUGCAGGAGGGGCAGGCGGAAUUCCUGGUGUAGCGGUGAAAUGCGUAGAUAUCAGGAGGAACACCGGUGGCGAAGGCGGCCUGCUGGACUGCAACUGACGUUGAGGCCCGAAAGCGUGGGGAGCAAACAGGAUUAGAUACCCCAGUA
rnacentral:rRNA from 1 species